UACGUAGGCAGCGAGCGUUGUUCGGAGUUACUGGGCGUAGAGGGUGUGUAGGCGGUUGUUUAAGUUUGGUGUGAAAUCUCCCGGCUCAACUGGGAGGGUGCGGCGGAAACUGGAAUGCUAGAGUGUGGGAGAGGUAAGCGGAAUUCCUGGUGUAGCGGUGAAAUGCGUAGAGAUCAGGAGGAACACCUGCGGUGUAGACAGCUUACUGGACCACGACUGACGCUGAGACACGAAAGCGUGGGUAGCAAACAGG
rnacentral:rRNA from 1 species